GGGGAUUUAGCUCAGUGGUAGAGCGCUUGUCUAGCAAGCACAAGGCCCUGGGUUCGGUUCCCAGCUCCA
rnacentral:tRNA from 1 species